rnacentral:rRNA from 1 species
CCCUUGUGCCAGCCGCCGCGGUAAGACGUAGGACACAAGCGUUAUCCGGAUUUACUGGGCGUAAAGCGUCUGCAGGCGGACAGGUAAGUUGGGCGUGAAAGCUCCGGGCCCAACCCGGAGAGGUCGUUCAAUACUGCGUGUCUAGAGGGUGUCAGAGGGGAGUGGAAUUUCCGGAGUAGCGGUAAAAUGCGCAGAGAUCGGAAAGAACACCAAUGGCGAAGGCAGCUCCCUGGGGCAACCCUGACGCUAAGAGACGAAAGCUAGGGGAGCGAACAGGAUUAGAGACCCUGGUAGUCCUAGCCCUAAACGAUGGAUGCUGGAUGUGGGGCCAUAGCGCUCCGUGUCGAAGCGAACGCGUUAAGCAUCCCGCCUGGGGACUACGGCCGCAAGGUUAAAACUCAAACGAAUUGACGGGACCCCGCACAAGCAGCGGAGCGUGUGGUUUAAUUCGAUGCUACACGAAGAACCUUACCUGGGUUUGACAUCUAGGUGGUAGUGAAGCGAAAGCGGAGCGACCCUUCGGGGAGCCUAGACAGAUGCUGCAUGGCUGUCGUCAGCUCGUGCCGUGAGGUGUCGGGUUAAGUCCCGUAACGAGCGCAACCCUUGCCCUCCGUUAUACGUGUCAGAGGGGACUGCCGGCGGUAAGCCGGAGGAAGGUGGGGAUGACGUCAAGUCAGCAUGGCCUUUAUAUCCAGGGCUACACACACGCUACAAUGGCCAGUACAAAGGGCAGCGAAGCCGCGAGGUGGAGCGAAUCCCAGCAAAGCUGGUCGUAGUUCGGAUUGCAGGCUGCAACCCGCCUGCAUGAAGCUGGAGUUGCUAGUAACCGCGCGUCAGCCAUAGUGCGGUGAAUACGUUCCCGGGGUUUGCA